rnacentral:rRNA from 1 species
UACGGGGGGGCAAGCGUUGUUCGGAAUUACUGGGCGUAAAGGGCUCGUAGGCGGCCAACUAAGUCAGACGUGAAAUCCCUCGGCUUAACCGGGGAACUGCGUCUGAUACUGGAUGGCUUGAGAUUGGGAGAGGGAUGCGGAAUUCCAGGUGUAGCGGUGAAAUGACGUAGAUAUCUGGAGGAACACCGGUGGCGAAGGCGGCAUCCUGGACCAAUAUUGACGCUGAGGAGCGAAAGCCAGGGGAGCAAACGGG